AGUUUCUUGAGUUUUCUGUUGAGCUUAACGAAAAAUUUCGUUCAAUAUUUAUCUAAUUCUAAACUGAUAAAAAACAAAAUGUGUGUUAAACCUCGUACAGAUCUCGUUGCUGAGGCCAUCAUCCUAAUAAUUCUAGCCGCAAUUGCAAUUGGAUUAGUGUCUGCCCAAUAAACUCUUUACUUUGUAUGCUGGGAUGGCUAUAAUGCUUGAGGCAGCUAUUAUACUUUUUACCAUAAAUGUGAUCGAGUGGACCAAGGGAUGGAAGUACAGAUACUUACUUUACGGUGUAUUUUAUCCAUGCUUUUUAUUGUAUACGUGUUACUAUUCAUUGAGGUAUGCAUUAGAAUUGAAAAGAUCAAGAGAUUAAAUGGAACCAAGUAUGGGGCGACUUUGAAUGAAAUA
rnacentral:misc_RNA from 1 species